rnacentral:rRNA from 1 species
AACGAACGCUGGCGGCAGGCUUAACACAUGCAAGUCGAGCGGAGAUGAGGUGCUUGCACCUUAUCUUAGCGGCGGACGGGUGAGUAAUGCUUAGGAAUCUGCCUAUUGGUGGGGGACAACAUUCCGAAAGGAAUGCUAAUACCGCAUACGCCCUACGGGGGAAAGCAGGGGAUCUUCGGACCUUGAGCUAAUAGAUGAGCCUAAGUCGGAUCAGCUAGUUGGUGGGGUAAAGGCCUACCAAGGCGACGAUCUGUAGCGGGUCUGAGAGGAGGAUCCGCCAAACUGGGACUGAGACACGGCCCAGACUCCUACGGGAGGGAGCAGUGGGGAAUAUUGGGCAAUGGGCGGAAGCCUGAUCCAGCCAUGCCGCGUGUGUGAAGAAGGCCUUUUGGUUGUAAAGCACUUUAAGCGAGGAGGAGGCUACCUGGAUUAAUACUCUAGGAUAGUGGACGUUACUCGCAGAAUAAGCACCGGCUAACUCUGUGCCAGCCGCCGCAGUAAAAC